UUCAAUGCUAUUUAAGCCACUUCGAAAGUUUGUUUAGACCCAGUGAUUCUGCCGUCAUGGAAACGCUACGUCAGACUUCGGUACUCUAUUAUAUUACUCUAUUGUAUACACAACCAUACUCUACCUGCACUUGGUAUUUAAUGCUUCUUUGCACUAAAUUUGCACUGAAAUGCAUGUCAACUGCAUUUCCAUGGCUCUGUACCUGUACUCUACUAAAUGACAAAGUUGAAUCUAAUCUAAUCUACUGGCAAGUGAGAAUUUAAGCAGCAGCUUGCCUUUUGACUUUACCUGCCCAGCUUUGAGGCCAGAUCACUGCCCCAUUCACUCCCAGGCUUCCCUGGAAAUUAUGUAAUUAAAUAAUUUGUUCAAUAAAUGUACAGCUUUGCUGCACUGAAAAUAAUGUAUUCAGAAAGUGCAGGUCUGAUGAUCUUCAGACUAAGCCUCAAAAUAGUUAUGACAUUAAUUGUAAGUGUUCGCCCAUCACAGCUAAAAUCGAACAAGAAGUCGCCUUAGGAGGCAGUCUUUGGUUGCUUGACAUGAAACUUGCUGUGAGUGCUUACAGUCAUGUUUCUGAUAGCAUCGAGUUGCCGUGGCAACUCCGGCCUGCUGGACUGCUUGGCCCCCUCAUUGCUGCUUGUAGCUACAUUUUCAUUUUUUCCCCUCGUGCACAAAGCUACAAUUCAUUAUGCAUGCUUCAUAACCAAAUUUCUAUUAACCUGUUACUGCAGAAGCGCCCCCUAGUGGGCCCGCUGCAAGGCCAGUUGUGACUUUCAAAGUUAACUUUAUGAAAACUCCCAAAACUUAGCCCUUUAAACAUGUUUAAGAUGUAAUAUAUAACCUUAGAUUUUGUCACAGGAAAUUAAAUUACCUUCCAAACAUCUGAAUCACAAGUUCCAGCUUGAAGUGGAUGCCUAUAAAGUUGUUUAUUUUUCUUGCUCACUAGGUAGAGGAAAAUGGUAACCGUAAGCAUAUGUAAACACAAGCUAAUGUUCUCUAAUUUUUCACGACCACAUAAUGUGUCUUCACGUAAAGUUGUACAUGAAUACAAAGCUGAAGAUGUCCUCUCCUAGAUUCUGUGGUUUGUACUGGCUGUCAACCAACUAUUUGGCAUGAGUGACAGUUUUGCACCUAUGGUAUCAGCACUACAUCAUGUUCAAAUGUGUCCCAUCAUAUCACUUCCUAGUUCUUGUCAGGCAUCCCAGAAGUGAUUGACACCUUUCCUAACAAAUAGUACUUAUUCUAACAAAAACGUAGGUGGGUCAUUUGUCAUGUUUGGUUGUGUAAUUGAGUUUGCAUGACUGGUGCUUAACUCAGGAUUCCGAAACAAUUUCCACAUCUGCUCGGAAGCCAUUUUUUAGUACAGUAGCUCGGAUACCGUGCAGGUGACAUGGUCUGCUGCAUUCGUAGUGACUUUGUUAGAGCAAUAUACAGUCUGUAGCUGGUCUACAUUGCCUGUGGUCAUCAUGACAAGAAGAAGCCAGACUAUGGUUGAAAUUCAUGAGGAGCUUUUCAGAAAAGACCGUGAGGAGGAUAAGGAGGAUUAUCUCAGCAAUGCUAGCCCUAUGGCCGCUAGCAUGGACUGGGUGGUUGGAUGUGUUGGAGUUUGGAAUUCAUGCUGACGUCGGUGUUGAUAAAACAGGGUCUGGCGCUGUGAUUCUGGCAGCUCUCCCUCCGCCUGUCUCUCUCUCACCUCAACAUGCUCAUCUGCAGAAGGCACCAGUUGGGCAUCAACAUCUAUAGAAUUAUACAGGACAUUUUGUUCUGUAUAUAAAAGCGAACUUAAUGAAGUCAAUAAAAACCCUGGAGAUGAAUUUAUAGCUUGGCCUGAAUGAUCAUUGUGCUGCAUGUAGAACUUGAGAUAAUGAGUGUGUACAAAAAAAAGUACAAAAUGUUCAAAAAUGUGUUGAAAACAGCAAUACUUUUGUGAUGUAUUAAACAUAUUAUUUUUGAACUGAGA